GUUAGGAAUAUUGGACAAUGGGCGAAAGCCUGAUCCAGCCAUGCCGCGUGAACGAUGAAGGCCUUCGGGUUGUAAAGUUCUUUAGCCGAUGAUUAUAAUGACUGUAGUCGGAAAAUAAGCCCCGGCUAACUUCGUGCCAGCAGCCGCGGUAAUACGAAGGGGGCGAGCGUUAUUCGGAAUCACUGGGCGUAAAGCGUGCGUAGGCGGUCUCGUAAGUUAGGAGUGAAAGCCCAGGGCUCAACCUUGGAAUUGCUCUUAAUACUGCAAGGCUAGAAUCUCGGAGAGGAUAGCGGAAUUUCCAGUGUAGCAGUGAAAUGCGUAGAUAUUGGAAGGAACACCAGUGGCGUAAGCGGCUAUCUGGACGAGUAUUGACGCUGAGGCACGAAAGCGUGGGGAUCAAACAGGAUUAGAAACCCGAGUAGUCC
rnacentral:rRNA from 1 species